GAAUGUUGAGUUUUAAGCCAGCUUUUUCACUCUCCUCUCCAGCACCACCUGGGAAGACCGCUUUGACCACAUACCACUAGGCAUAUCUAAGGUCAAGGAAGGUUUGGAAAUAUAGUUCAGGUGUGUGCCUAGGUAGAGAAGGAACCGGGUUUGGUAAACAGCUAGCUAAUCUCUGUCACUGUGGUUAAAUAAGUUAGUCUGUGUUAGAUGUCUAUGAAUAAAGAAUUCAGAGUAAAAUCAUUCAUUACUGUAUAUUUGUGUUCAUAAAAUCUGGAAACCACUUAUUUCAGAAAAUUUCCAAAGUCUCUGUCUAUGAUAAAAACUAUUCUGUAUACUUGAGAGCUGCCUUUUAUAUAUUCUCUCAGGAGAAGAAAGAAAGGAGAAACUUGAUUUUUGUAAAAAUUCCAUUUGUAUCUGAAUUGCUUUAUAAGACUGUGAAAUAUUUACAUAUAAGUUAUAGUUUUGACUUGAUUAUAAAACCUGCCAGAAUUCCAUUCAAAGGUAUGGUUUUUCUAAUAGUGUGGCUAUAAACACUGCAAAAUGCAUUUCUGAGGGUUUGAAAUCUUACCUUCUAGAAAGGAAUGGAUAUUUCUAAAAUUUCUAAAUUCUAAGGCCUGGGUAAAUCCUGCAGUUUUCAUUCAGAUUGUCUUACCAUAUGUUUCUUUUCUAAUUUAAUACUGCUUAAAACUAUAAGCUCCAGAAGAAUGAGGUUCAGUCCAUUGGUAAGAAAGAUAGAAAAGUGAUAAUAGGAAAAAACUAGCAUUUGCUGAGGCUUAUUUGUCAGGACUGUAUGAGGCACUGUGCCCACACAUUUGACUUCCUUGAAUCCUCACAUCAACACUGCAAGAAAGGUAGUGAGCCCAGUUUUUUCAGUGAGGAUCCUUUGUCUCUGGGAGGCUAACUAACUCACCUGUGGUCCCAAGCCAGGAAAGGACAAAGCUUGGAUGUGAGCUGAGGCCUAUCUGGCACCAAAACCCAGAUUCUUGAAUACAGCAGACUGGAAAAGAGAAUGAAAAUGAAAAACUUGGGAAACGAGCUAGAGACCAACACUACGGAGCUUUGAAAUUUGAUUCCUCAGUCUUUUCUUUCCUAAGAAAUCCCUGGAGGUGAUUUUUUUGAUCGCCCCUCAUAGCCUGCGGGAUCUUAGCUCCCUGUUGUUAAGUCGCCAAGUUAUGUCCGACUCUUUAUGACCCUGUGGACGGUAGCCCACCAGUCUCCUCUGUCCAUGGGAUUUUCCAGGCAAGAAUACUGGAGUGGGUUGCCAUGUCCUCCUUCAGGGGAUCUUCUUCCCAAUCCAGAAAUCAAGUUGAUCUUAGUUCCCUGACCAGGAAUCAUACCUAUGCCCCUGCUGUAGAAGUACAGAGUCUUAACCACUGGACCACCAGGGAAGUUUCCACAGAGGUGCUUAAUUCCUUUGUAUCUGUUAGCCACUAGCUCUGCAGAAAGACUGAAGUCACAUGUAAGGUUAGAGCUUCAGAUCUUAGUACCAGCUCUCUGAUGUUUCUGGUCACUUAUUGAAAUCCCUCUGCAGGGUUUUUUUCCAAACCAGUUGUCUAAGGGAGCAAUCAAGUUCCAACCUAGCUCUUGACUGGGAAGGUAUGGCUGCCUUGAUCACAUCUCCAUGGGAAAAAUGAAACUGACAGAUUAAGGGAGUAAUUCCAAGAAUAACUUUGGCACUAGACCUAAGACUGGAAAACAAUUUUCCUUCUCCUUUGGGCAGAGAAAAUACCUCAAGGACAGUAAAAUGUGCAGGAGAAUCAGGCCGAGGGCCAUUUUUCCUCUUCUCUUCUGCCAGGGUUCAUGUGUGUAAAACAGAUGAACUGUUUGCUACCUUCCUGAGUUUUUACUCAGCUGUUUAUAGCAGAUCUGUGAAUAUGCACAUCGUAAAGUUAAAAAUAAAGCCAAAUAGCAAGACUUCAGAGUGGGAGAGACAAGAAAAUACUUGUACUUUACAAGAAUUAAACUAAAAUUCCAACCUCAACUAUAUAAGCCAUUACAUAGAAUGCAAAGAAGAUAAAGAAACAACAGUGCUAAAAUGUAUUCCCAGUAAAUUGAUACAUUCUCUGUGGAAUCUUUUUGCAAAAAUGGAAUAUGGAUUAAAGAUUAAAGUAAUGUACCAAUGGUUAUAAUUCAAAGUGAAAGUGAAGUCAAAGUGUUAA